rnacentral:rRNA from 1 species
GGAUGAACGCUAGCGGCAGGCUUAAUACAUGCAAGUCGAGGGGUAACAUGGUAGUGAUACUGAUGACGACCGGCAAACGGGUGCGCAACACGUACAGAACCUUCCUUUAAGCGGGGGAUAGCCCAUAGAAAUGUGGAUUAAUACCCCAUGGUAUUAUCAGGUGGCAUCAUUUGAUAAUUAAAGAUUUAUUACUUAGAGAUGGCUGUGCGUCUGAUUAGGUAGNGGUUGGGUAAUGGCCCACCAAGCCUUCGAUCAGUAACUGGUGUGAG